rnacentral:piRNA from 1 species
AGACAAAGUUUGGAGCUGA